GUGGACGUAGCUCAGUGGUAGAGCGCCGGUUUGUCUGCAUCGCCCCUGGUCGCGUAUGCGAAUGCAGGUGUGGACUACAGGGUACCGGAGGCCAGAGGUUCGAGCCCUCUCGCCCACC
rnacentral:tRNA from 1 species